rnacentral:rRNA from 1 species
AACGAACGCUGGCGGCAUGCCUAACACAUGCAAGUCGUGCGAGAAAGUUCCUUCGGGAGCAAGUAAAGCGGCGCACGGGUGAGUAACACGUAGGUAACCUGCCCCCCAGUCUGGAACAACUAGAGGAAACUCUAGCUAAUGCCGGAUGAGACCACGAUCCCUUCGGGGUUGGCGGCCAAAGAUGGCCUCUACUUGUAAGCUAUCGCUGAGGGAUGGGCCUGCGGGCCAUUAGCUUGUUGGUGAGGUAACGGCUCACCAAGGCUGUGAUGGCUAGCUGGUCUGAGAGGAUGACCAGCCACACUGGGACUGAGACACGGCCCAGACUCCUACGGGAGGCAGCAGUGGGGAAUAUUGCGCAAUGGGCGAAAGCCUGACGCAGC